rnacentral:rRNA from 1 species
UGGGGAAUAUUGCACAAUGGGCGGAAGCCUGAUGCAGCGACGCCGCGUGAGGGAUGACGGCCUUCGGGUUGUAAACCUCUUUCAGCAGGGACGAAGCGCAAGUGACGGUACCUGCAGAAGAAGCGCCGGCCAACUACGUGCCAGCAGCCGCGGUAAGACGUAGGGCGCGAGCGUUGUCCGGAUUUAUUGGGCGUAAAGAGCUCGUAGGCGGCUUGUCGCGUCGACUGUGAAAACCCGCGGCUCAACCGCGGGCUUGCAGCCGAUACGGGCAGGGUAGAGUUCGGUAGGGGAGACUGGAAUUCCUGGUGUAGCGGUGAAAUGCGCAGAUAUCAGGAGGAACACCGAUGGCGAAGGCAGGUCUCUGGGCCGAUACUGACGCUGAGGAGCGAAAGCGUGGGGAGCGAACAGG